GCCAGCAUGGUGUAGUGGUUUGUACAUUUGACUAUGACUCUGGAGAGUGGGGUUCGAAUCCCCGCUCGGCCA